rnacentral:rRNA from 1 species
AUAAGGAAUAAUUAGUGGCAGACGGGUGAGUAAUGCAUAGGAAUCUACCUAGUAGUAUGGGAUAGCCACUAGAAAUGGUGGGUAAUACUGUAUAAUCCCUGCGGGGGAAAGAUUUAUCGCUAUUAGAUGAGCCUAUGUUAGAUUAGCUAGUUGGUAGGGUAAAGGCCUACCAAGGCGAUGAUCUAUAGCUGGUCUGAGAGGAUGAUCAGCCACACUGGAACUGAGAUACGGUCCAGACUCCUACGGGAGGCAGCAGUGGGGAAUAUUGGACAAUGGGCGCAAGCCUGAUCCAGCUAUGCCGCGUGAGUGAGGAAGGCCUUAGGGUUGUAAAACUCUUUCAGUAGGGAAGAUAAUGACGGUACCUACAGAAGAAGUCCCGGCAAACUCCGUGCCAGCAGCCGCGGUAAUACGGAGGGGGCAAGCGUUGUUCGGAAUUAUUGGGCGUAAAGGGCAUGUAGGCGGUUCGGUAAGUUAAAGGUGAAAUGCCAGGGCUUAAC